rnacentral:rRNA from 1 species
GGAAACGGGAGCUAAUUACGCAUGACCUCAAAAGAGCAGAGUGCGGGAUCUUCUGACCUCUCGCCAUCGGAUGUGCCGGAUAGCAUUAUCUACUCGGUGAGGUAAUGCCUCACCUAGGCGACGAUCCCUAGCUGGUCUGAGAGGAUGACCACCGACCCUGAAACUGAGACACCGUCCCCACUCCUACCCGAGGUAUCACUGGGGAAUAUUUUACAAUGCGCGCCAGCCUGAUGUGGCCAUGCCGCGUGUGGGAAGAACGCCUUGCGGUUGUAAAGCACUUUCUUCGAAGAGCAAGGUGUCAUCAUUAAGGUUGUGGUGAUUGACGUUACUCGAAGAAGAAGCUCGUCUGUGGCGUGCCCCGCCGUGGUAAUACGGAAAGGGUCGCGUGAUCAUAAUUACUGGGCGUAUAGCCCACGCCGCUUUUGCUAAAUCAGAAGCAAAUCCCCGCGCUUGGCAUGGGAACUGCAUUUGAAACUGGAAAUUAGAGUCUUGUAGAGGGGGGUAGAAUUCCAGGUGUAGCGGUGAAAUGCUUAUAGAUCUGGAGGAGUACCAGUGGCGAACGCCGUCCCCUGAUACUGA